UCACGGGCGGCGGCCGCGGGCAGGGCAGGGCAGGGCAGGGCCUCCCGCGCGCCCCGCCGUCGUCGUCGCCCCAAGGGGCCGGGGCUCGGCGCGCGCCCAGUGUCGCCCCUGGGGCCGGGCCGCCAUCUUCCCCCGCGGGGCGCCCCGCUCCUUCCCUUCCGCUUUGGCCUUUUUUUUAAUUUUUUCUCCCUAAAAAAGACCAAUAAAUGCCGCCCCCCGCCCAGACCCACCUGCGCGGCCGCGCAGAGCGGGGGGAGGCGCGGGGCAGGCCCGGCCCGGCUGGGGGGAAGGGGCUCACCCGCAGCGCUCCCCUCCCUUAGCUCUCCGCCAUCCGGGAUGAAGGAAUAUGAACCUUACUGGAGUUACUAGUCCUUUCCAGUGCGGAAGCCUGCGCUUGGAGCCAGAAUGGCUCUUCUGGUUUACCGGAGCCCUACAGUCCGAUAAAAAUAAUCGGAAUAUUUGUGACAAGAAAUUUGUGACAAGGCCAGUGACAAGAAACAAUGUCCGAAAGGAGUGGGAGUAUGAGGAAUCCUGCUGUCCCAGGUUAACCCACUGUUCACGCAGGGAAACAGUUAUUCAACACCGUGGUCUGACAUGCCUUAACGUUUUGCUGAUCCACAGCGGAGCUGGGAAGAGCACAGUCAAGCCGUAUAAACUAUGUGGUUAAUUUAAAUGUAAUUUGUUUCACACACAAGGCAAAAAAGAGAAAAGAAACCCAACAGGACAACCUUCCACUAUUCAAACAUAAACAGUGCCGGUAUUUGUUUAUUUAAACAUUCACGUUUAUUUACUAUUUAGAUAUUAAAUAUUUAUUUAGCCACACACAAACACGGUUGAUAAACAAAUACCAUCUAAAGCUAAGGGAGACGGGGUUCCAAAUCAAAAGGCAAACUAAAAAAAAAGUCGUAUUUUUAAAGAUCACCAUGAUCUGUGGGUAACUUUCGUUCUUGUCCUAGUGAAGAUUUUCUACAUGUUUACGAGUCAGCAUUUCUGCGAGCUGGAUCAUUUCUAAGGGGCUGAAAAGAAACGUUUUCUAAAUCAGAUGUUUUUAUACAUAUAUGUUAUUAUUUUUAAUAAAGGCGCACUCUCCCGAGGCCA
rnacentral:lncRNA from 1 species